rnacentral:rRNA from 1 species
AAUGGCAGGUCAGCAUACUGCCGUGAAUACGUUCCCGGGCCCUUGUACACACCGCCCGUCACACCAUGAGAGUUAGGAAUACCCGAAGCCUGUGAGCCAACUUUCUAAGAGGCAGCAGUCGAAGGUAGAACUAAUGAUUGGGGUGAAGUCGUAACAAGGUAGC